GGUGGCGUGUCCGAGCGGCCUAAGGAGCACGCCUCGAAAGCGUGUGUGGGGGUGACUCCACCGCGGGUUCAAAUCCCGCCGCCACCG
rnacentral:tRNA from 1 species